rnacentral:tRNA from 1 species
CCACGUGGCGGGAGGGAUCGAGUGCGCUGCGUAAGCGCACGCGGGCGUAGAGAGGCGUCAGCUUCUUAAGUUCGGUACUGAUCACGCGAA